ACUACAACUAGCCUAAUAAACUUACAACCAACUACCAUAUUAUUUCAUAAAUCAAACCAUUUACUAAAAACUAGUAUAGGUGAUAGAAAAUUAAAUUAUAGAGCUAUAGAUAUAGUACCGCAAGGGAAUGAUGAAAGAUAAACCUAAGUAAUCAAAAGCAAAGAUUAGACCUUUUACCUUUUGCAUAAUGAGCUAACUAGAAACACCCUGACAAAGAGAACUUUAGCCAGAAACCCCGAAAUCAGACGAGCUACCCUAGAACAGCCUAAUACAGGGCCAACUCAUCUAUGUAGCAAAAUAGUGAGAAGAUUCUAAGGUAGAGGUGAAAAGCCUAACGAGCCUGAUGAUAGCUGGUUGUCCAGAAAAGAAUUUUAGUUCACCUUAAAACUUACUUACCCUACCUAUCAAAACUACCGUAAGUUUUAAAGCUAACCUAAAGAGGUACAGCUCUUUAGAUAGAGGAUACAACCUGAAGUAAAGAGUAAUUAUCACACCACUCAUAGUAGGCCUAAAAGCAGCCACCAAUUAAGAAAGCGUUAAAGCUCAACACUACACUCACAACUUAUCCAAAUAAUAUCGUCCAACUCUUACUAAUCAACUGGACCAAUCUAAUACCUAUUAGAUGAAAUACUGUUAGUAUAAGUAAUAAGAAAAAUUAUUCUCCAAGCACAAGUUUAUAUCAGCACGAAUGAUUCACUGAUAGUUAACAAUAUAGACACUCCACUCCAACUACUAGAAUAUUUGUCAUAACCUUUUGUUAACCCAACACAGGAGUGCUUUAUGGAAAGAUUAACAAAUGUAAAAGGAACUCGGCAAACACUAACCCCGCCUGUUUACCAAAAACAUCACCUCUAGCAUAACUAGUAUUAGAGGCACCGCCUGCCCAGUGACGCAAGUUAAACGGCCGCGGUAUCCUGACCGUGCAAAGGUAGCAUAAUAAUUUGUUCCUUAAUUAGGGACUUGUAUGAAUGGCAUGACGAGGGUUUAACUGUCUCUUACAUUCAAUCAAUGAAAUUGACCUUCCCGUGAAGAGGCGGAAAUAGCAUAAUAAGACGAGAAGACCCUAUGGAGCUUAAAUUGAUAUUCCAACUAAACUCAUCAAAAAUCUACUUGAUCCAAAAUAAUAACCACUGGAAUUAAAAUUUUGGUUGGGGUGACCUCGGAGCAUAAAAAAACCUCCGAAGGACAAACAUUAAGACCAACAAGUCUAAAUUAUUAAAGUCCAAAUAUUGACCCAGAAACUAAAUCUGAUCAAUGAACCAAGUUACCCUAGGGAUAACAGCGCAAUCCUGUUAGAGAGUCCAUAUCGACAACAGGGUUUACGACCUCGAUGUUGGAUCAGGACAUCCCAAUGGUGCAGCAGCUAUUAAAGGUUCGUUUGUUCAACGAUUAAAGUCCUACGUGAUCUGAGUUCAGACCGGAGCAAUCCAGGUCGGUUUCUAUCUAUUCUACUAUUUCUCCCAGUACGAAAGGACAAGAGAAAUAAGGCCAACUUUGCAAAAGCGCCUUAAAGCCAAAUAAAUGAUAUAAUAUCAAUUUAUUAAGUAAGUUUAUAUAAGCUCAACACCCUCCUCGAUAUAAGAGGCC
rnacentral:rRNA from 1 species